GUGCUGGCUUCGGCAGCACAUAUACUAAAACUGGAAUGAUACAGAGAUUAGCAUGGCCCCUGCGCAAGGAUGACAUGCAAAUUCAAAUUUGUGAAGCAUUCCAUAUUUUU
rnacentral:snRNA from 1 species